AAGUAAUAUGGCAAUAAUUGAGUGACUGUGAGGGGUACAAAGUCAGAGCAUGAACCAGGAAUGAGCUGAGCCUUUGAGAAAUGCCUCCCCAGGCUGUUUGUUCCCUGCCAGGGGCUGGCAGCAGGCCAGGCCUUUGCUUUGGAGAAUAAUCCGCUGGCUUUAGGGCUUCCCAGCACUCCUUGGGAGUGAAAAACAAGUGUGACUGCUCAGGGCCUCGUGGGUGUGUGGGCAUGGGUGGGUGACCAGGACAGGCUCAGGACUUCAUUCCCUGCCUGUUCCAGCCCAGCUGGGGGGCUGGGAGGGAGUGGUGGCACAGCUGUCCCCUUCCUCCUCGCUGGGUGCUGGGCACCCCCUGGCCCAUCAGCAUCCCUGGUAACGCCUCCUUCUUCCCACUUCAUCACCCAUUGCUGGGCAGGAAUCCCCCUCCCUUCCACACAGGACUUGGAUCUGGGGAUGUCCUGCUCAGUGCCACCCCAGGGGUGACAAGAAAACACGUGUGUGCCCAGGAGAUCAGUGUGCUCCUGCCACCAGCUCUGCCUCGGUCCCCAGCAGGGAGCAGCAGAAAAAUCUGAAUUGCUCUGCUGAGAAAUUAAUCUUCUUUCCCUGUCUUAACUCAGCCUGACCUAGAUGAGCCACUGCCCCCCCCUCGGGUGGUUUUUUUUGUUCCUCUGUGGGGUGUUUAAAGGGAAAAUUACGGCAAAUGUAUUGCAAAGAAGCUGUGGGAGACAGGGGCCAGACCUCCAGCAGGACAAAGUGGUUUUAGACAGGAUUUUCCAGGCUGCCCUCUCCUGAGACCCUCUGAUCUGGGGUGGUGGGCAGGGAAAAUUUAAUCUACCCAAGCAUGGGCAGUAGAACAGAAAUAGUAAAAGGUCAAGAGCUGUGUUGGGUUCCUGCUGGCAGGGUGCAAAGUCAGGGGGACUUUUAGCUGGAGAGAAGUAAAAGUGGAGCUGCUGGAGACAGAAAUGGCAAUGGGAACAAAGCAGCUGCAGUGCUUGUGCCCUCCCUUGGUGGUUGUGGUCCUGGGGUGGUGACAGGGACUGGGGCUGGCUGGAAGGACAGCACUGACCACCAGGACAGCAAAGGAGGUGAAAUAUGCCUCUCCCAGAACCUGCUCCUGCCUCACACCAAACCUUCCACUGCCCUGUGCUGCAUCCCUUUCCCUCUGUCCCUUCAUGCCCAGGGAUGAAGCCUGGAUGGCUCAAAUGCCAUCCUUGGCUUUGUGGGCGAGGGAAGCCAGACACCCCAACACCAAAAUGAUCCUGACAAAAUGCUGAAGCUCACAUCCUGGGGGUUACAUCCAAGGAAAGGCUUUAUCUACCUUUAAAACUCAUCAGCUGCCCUGUGAAGGACUCUGCUCCUGGGCUGAAGGGCCAGGGUUAGGGUUAACCCUGCUCCCUCCCUGCCUCAGCUUCCCUUUUGUAAAGUUGGGGGAGAUAGAAAUGAAAAAAAACUCAGUCUCCUCUUAUGCCUGAGGACUUCCUUGUGGUUGUGUUGUGGGGUUGGUUCCUGUUCCACAAGUCUUGGAGGAGAGCAGGGAGGCCAGGCAGUUGUUCUGGUGCUCAUCCAUGUGUCUCUGUAUGUCUGUCUGCCUGUCCCUCCUUGUCAGAGUGCAGCACCUGUGGCUGUCCCACCCCUUCGGAAAAGGGGUCUUGAGUCCAGAACCACCCCCAGCCAGGGUCUGUGCACUGGGAGAGGAGCAAUGCUGGGAGCCAAAGGGUUCUGAGGCAGUUUUUGGGCAGCAGCCCUCGUUUUGGAGGCUCAGCCCUGUGUGUCAGGGCAGGAGGUGCAGGCAGUGUGAGCAGCAGGGAUUAUGGCUGCUAUAAAAAGCACCAGCAUCUCUCCUCUCUGCUCCCUAAGGCGCUUAGGCAGGAAGGAGGGAAUUAAAGAGUAACCUCUGGCACUGAAGAGUGCAGGGAUGGGAGCAGUCAGAAUAGCCUGACACACUCAUGAGACCCCCUUCCUCCUCAGCAUCCCCAAAAAUCCUCCCUGGGGCAAAGAAGCCCCUUCAUGCUCUUUCUGGGUCCCUGCUGUUGGGUCACCAGAAACUUGUCUCCUGCUCAGUGGUUGUGGGGGGCAAGGAGAAGGCUGAGGAGGACAGCUGAGCCUGGAGAGGGGGUCCUGGUGGGAGAGAAGAGCACAUGAGGAUGCUGUACCAUUUGCACGCCCCAAACAAAAAUGUGGAGCACUCCCCCAUCCUCACAGCCUCACUCGUCUGCCUGGUCCUGUCCUGCUACUCUGAGGGUACUGGUGAUGUCCUCCAAAAUGCAGUCAGCUGCAUGGGUGCAUGGCUGGACAGAAGAACACAGAGGCCUUGGAGGGACAGGGGUUGUUGCAGCCAAAAGCCACACUCUGCCCCACUUCCAGUGCUGGAGGCAAAAUGACUCCGGGGUCUUGGGACUCUCUGCCAGGCUCACAGUCAGUCUCAGAGCUCAGCACUAGUGUGGGCUCUGGCGACAUGUCUGGGGACAAAGCAGGGGGAAGGCAGGUGCCAGAUGAUGGCAAUGGUGCAGGGAUGGGGGGAUGUGAAGGAAGGUGGUGUGGGGAACAGCUGUCCUCUGUGGUUCCAAAAGCAGCCACGGGGUCCUGCCGAGCGGGACCUGGCACUGCCCGGCUGCGGGAGGUGGUCGGUGUUUCCCCUCAGCGCGGACACUGCCGGAACAUCCCCAGAGCUCGGUCAUGCUGGGGAUGGAACAGCAGCAGGAUCCGUCCCGGCAGCUGAGGGGUUUCACAGGGCCCUGCCGAGCGGCGGAGCGGCCCCGCCGGCCACAGGAGGGAGCCGGCCUCCUUCCCUCCGCUCCGCCCGGAGCACGGCGGCCUCGGGGAUCGGCCCUGCUUGGUGCAGGAGCAUCGCCUGGGUCAGACCGGGUCAUUGGGACCCCAAACCUCCCAGGAAGGCAGCGAGAGCCCGGCUGGAGCGGAGGGGGCCGCCCCCAUGCUCAGGAAGGCUGCACCUCAUUCCCAGCAGCGGAUGGGUGAUGGGGCUGCGGUGCGGAUGAGCCGCUGGGCUUUUGCUGCAGCCAUGGGGGGACCAGUUGUGCCCAGGGAGUGGCAUGUCCCCAUGGCAGGGACCAGCCCGAGACCACACUGAGACCAGUGUGUCGUUGUCUCUCGUGGGCGGUGGUCAGAGGUACCAGGGUGACCCCGAUGCCCAGCCUGCUGAUGCUGAGAGAGCAGGGGAGCGAGCAAACCAGCCCCUCCCUGUACAACCUGCUGCCCCAGGAAUCUGGACCUUCCCAGUUCCCCAGCCCACUGCCAGCUCUGGUGCUGCAACCUUAUUCCCAGGGGCUGACAGUCACUGGUGGGAUCAUGCCCCAGCAUCCCCCUCCUGCUGUCCAGCUCUCCAUCCCUGUCCCGCUCCCCCCACAGCCCCAGCAGCACAGGGGAAGCCUGGCAGGUGCCAGAGCAGCCACGCUACACACCCAGGAUUGAAAAAAAAAACAGAGAAAAAUGACGGUGGCAUAACACUGUCUGAUUGGAAAUAGUUAAUUACGGGGGGAGGUCUGGGGUACUGUCCUCCGCCUUUGCUUGCUGAAAAGCCGACAAAGCCCCAGCGUGGGACUGCUGGUAAUGGCUCUCAUUAAAGCAGUUGGAGCAGGAGUUUGAAACCACAUCCAUUUUCCUUAACUGCUCUCAGAAGGGGAAAAUGCUGUUCUGGCCCCUGCUAUUUGUGGUGUGCUGGGUACUGCAGGCUGGGAAAAGGCAGGAUUUGCCUCCCUGAAUGCAGAGGCAGAAUUCUGGACCACGGCCUUUUCUCGGGACUGGCUCUGUGGCACAUCACCGUAACCUUUUUUAAGUCCAGGGAAGAUGUGGGGAGUAAAGGAAUCUUCAUAAGGGAGAGACACAAGGAAUGAGCUUGGUCCCAGUGCCUCCACUCUGCUACACAGAGAAAUUAUGGAUCCUGGUUUAAAAUCCUUAUUGGGAUAAGAGCUGAUCUUAAAACAGCAAUGAAGCCAUGAGGAUGCUCCUUUCCCCACAUGAUUAGGGAAUUUCCCCUGAGCCCCUUAAACAGAGAGGAGCAGGGAUCUGCCUGGAGUUACAAAUGGGAAAGGAUGUCUUUGGGCACAGAGAAGGGCAGUUUUGGUUGGUGGUGCUCUGGCUGGGAAGAGGAAGACAUCCAGGGAGAAGAGGGAGGUGUCCCUGCUCCAUCAAUGCACGAGGGGCUGACCCCAGUACAGAGGCAGCACCCCUUGGGGUGGCAGGAAGUUUGGGGGUGAUGUAGGAGGUGAUCAUGCUGGGAUGAAUCUGAAGGAUGCAGACAUACAAGGGCUAUUUUCCCUCAUGAAGAGUUUGGAUUUCAUACAGAUGAGUCCCUGUCC
ensembl:lncRNA